CCUACGGGAGGCUGCAGUGGGGAAUAUUGCACAAUGGGCGCAAGCCUGAUGCAGCCAUGCCGCGUGUGUGAAGAAGGCCUUCGGGUUGUAAAGCACUUUCAGCGGGGAGGAAGGCGUUAAGGUUAAUAACCUUGUCGAUUGACGUUACCCGCAGAAGAAGCACCGGCUAACUCCGUGCCAGCAGCCGCGGUAAUACGGAGGGUGCAAGCGUUAAUCGGAAUUACUGGGCGUAAAGCGCACGCAGGCGGUCUGUCAAGUCGGAUGUGAAAUCCCCGGGCUCAACCUGGGAACUGCAUUCGAAACUGGCAGGCUAGAGUCUUGUAGAGGGGGGUAGAAUUCCAGGUGUAGCGGUGAAAUGUGUAGAGAUCUGGAGGAAUACCGGUGGCGAAGGCGGCCCCCUGGACAAAGACUGACGCUCAGGUGCGAAAGCGUGGGGAGCAAACAGGAUUAGAUACCCUUGUAGUC
rnacentral:rRNA from 1 species